UACGUAGGUGGCAAGCGUUGUCCGGAUUUACUGGGCGUAAAGAGCGCGCAGGCGGUCGUUCAAGUCGCGUGUGAAAGCCCCCGGCUCAACUGGGGAGGGUCACGCGAUACUGAUCGACUGGAAGGCAGGAGAGGGUAGUGGAAUUCCCGGUGUAGUGGUGAAAUGCGUAGAUAUCGGGAGGAACACCAGUGGCGAAGGCGGGUCUCUGGGCAGUAACUGACGCUGAGGAGCGAAAGCGUGGGGAGCGAACAGG
rnacentral:rRNA from 1 species